rnacentral:tRNA from 1 species
AUUAUUUUGGCAGAUUAGUGCAAUAGAUUUAGGAUCUUUAUAUAUAGUUUAAAUUAUAAAUAAUA